GUCAAAGUUUAGUUUCUAUAACAAUAAAGAAUGUGGGGUAAAGAGUGGGCCUAAAUCUUGAUGGCUAAAACACACCAGAAGACAUGGCCACGAAAAGGUGUGAGGCAGUGAGAACUAUUCACAGCAAGCUCUACAACAUUACUAGUCUGGUGAAAAACUUAGCAGAAAAUCACAAG